rnacentral:rRNA from 1 species
GGAAGUAAAAAAUCGUAACAAGGUCUCCGUUGGUGAACCAGCGGAGGGAUCAUUACCGAGUUUACAACUCCCAAACCCCUGUGAACAUACCUAUACGUUGCCUCGGCGGAUCAGCCCGCGCCCCGUAAAAAGGGACGGCCCGCCCGAGGACCCCUAAACUCUGUUUUUAGUGGAACUUCUGAGUAAAACAAACAAAUAAAUCAAAACUUUCAACAACGGAUCUCUUGGUUCUGGCAUCGAUGAAGAACGCAGCAAAAUGCGAUAAGUAAUGUGAAUUGCAGAAUUCAGUGAAUCAUCGAAUCUUUGAACGCACAUUGCGCCCGCCAGUAUUCUGGCGGGCAUGCCUGUUCGAGCGUCAUUUCAACCCUCAAGCUCAGCUUGGUGUUGGGACUCGCGGUAACCCGCGUUCCCCAAAUCGAUUGGCGGUCACGUCGAGCUUCCAUAGCGUAGUAAUCAUACACCUCGUUACUGGUAAUCGUCGCGGCCACGCCGUAAAACCCCAACUUCUGAAUGUGACCUCGGAUCAGGUAGAUGCCCCG